UUUAAUCUUUACAGGCUUGAAACACUUUCUACCUAGACACUGCAGGUAUCAUUUUUAUAUUAGUUAGGACAUUUGUUAGGAGAUUCACUACACGGUUAACACCUUAGUGCUGAAUUUCAAGUCUUUGUAAAAGCACACAUCAUGGUUGAACCUGCCAAAAACAGCUGCAGAUUGUGUGUGAACAAUGAUAGUGGAGAAACCAGGAGUCUCUAUAACCCAAAUGACUUGCAUAAAAUAAUAUAAAAAUAUUUUCAUCCCGAGAUUGUCCACAUGACAGAGACCAAACACCUAACAAUCACAUAUAGCAAAUGUUGGCGAGCUAUCUAUGAAUUUCAUAGUUUCCAAACAUCGUUGCAGGUGGCCCAAUUAAAACUCAUUGACUCAAAGGAAACUGAAAAUAAUAUGGAGAUCGAAAAUUCCACAAUGUCAGAAGUGAUUUAGGGAGAACUGAAAGGCCAUUCGAAUCAAAUGAGGAAAAUUUAUGAGGUUGUUGAAACUGAGCAUAAUGUCGAGUCAACUCAAAAUUUAGAAGAAACUCAGUAAGAAGUGACAUACAAUUCAAGUUUCAAAACAAUUAUAAGCAGAGAGAAAUAUGAUGUAAAUAUUCAAAGAAUUUCCCGCCAGAGAGAUGCAUUUUCAAACAAAUCACCCAGGGACACAUUCCUUAUACAAUGUUAUUUCAAGAAACUCUCGGAUCGAUCAAAACUUAAUGAAAGAACACGCUCUGCUACAUGAAUACCCCAUAUAAUCAGUUGCCCCAGAAGUACGCAAGAAUAGGCAAUUUAAGUGUGCCAUGUUUGAGAAACAUUGCGACCCGUCCACACAAAAAAUUUGCAGAAUAUGUGGCCAACAUAUGGCAACGUAUGUGUAGCAAGAGCGACAUUUCUGCAAAGAGCCUAGAACACAUCCAGCACCUAAGCCGGCGUUGAAUGACAAAGGUCGUACCACAUAUCCUUGUUCGAAAUGUAAUCACAUUUCCUAUAACAUUCAUGCAUUUUAUUACCAUUAUUGGAUUGGCCAUAAAUCGUGCCUCGAUCAGCUGCAACAUAGACCGAAGGCGAAACGUCAGACGAUACCUCUGGUGGUUUGGUACAAAUAACAAAACCCCAAAGUGAAGAAGUUGAUGAAGAUAAAACUCUACCGAACAUGAACAGACUGCCCUCUGUAGCCUCUAGAAAUUCUGUGAUAACCUCUGUGGACACUGCAGUCAAUAGGUGGUUGUCACCCUUACAGUGUGUGAGUUGUUUACAGCUCUUUUCUAAAUUGGCUUCAUUAGAGGAAAAUGUUCGAAAAAACUAUCCACGGCUAAAAAGUGUCUACGACACUCCCUCGCGCUCCACAUAUCCCUGUUCGAAUGUGAAAAUAUUUCCCAUACCAUUACAUCUUUUUAUCAUCACUAUUGGUUUGAGCAUGAAAGAAUUCGUUCAGGAAGAAGACAAAGAAGACGGAUUGUCAACAUGCGCCAAUGACUGAUGAACUUAAAUGCUCUUCAAAGCCAAACACAAGUACAAGCGCGGAGAGCAACGAAGAAAAAGUAACAAUUGUUUUAUGUUCCGAUUAGGAAUCUUUUGAGUGUGAUUUGUAACAUAAAUCCCUUGACAAUCAGAAUACUCUGCUGAUGCAUACAUACGAAAAACAUGCAGAAUAUGUCAGCUUUUUUGUGAGAUUUGCAGUAAGCAUAGUGAAAACUAAAACCAACACUUGCGGUACUACUUUAAAGAACAUCCUCUUGUUAAGGCAUGCAAACCAGUGCUCCUGUCCAAAGGCGAAAAUCGUGUUCCAGGUCCAAUAUAACAGACAUCUGCUCAACCUACGAAAUCCGAGUUGUACCACAACUGUCCCAAAUGUUUUAAAGAAUUUACUGAAAUUCGUGUUAUGAUCGUACACCUAGCUUCUAUUCAUUUAGGUGCGACACUCUACCGAUGUCCUCAAUGCUAAGAGACAUUUCAAGCAGUCACGGAAAUUGUCCCACAAAAAAGUGAGAAUUUUACAAAAAUGUGGAUGGGAAAUACAUCUAGAUACUCGCCGAAUGGUCUCCAAGUUACCGACAAUGAAUAUUCAAAAUUAAAGUUGUAAUUUUCAAAAUAAAAUUGCGAAAUAUAACUUCAAAAAAGGAAAAAAAA
rnacentral:sRNA from 1 species